rnacentral:rRNA from 1 species
UACGUAGGGUGCAAGCGUUAAUCGGAAUUACUGGGCGUAAAGCGUGCGCAGGCGGUUCUAUAAGACAGAUGUGAAAUCCCGGGCUCAACCCUGGGAACUGCAUUUGUGACUGUAGAGCUGGAGUACGGCAGAGGGGAUGGAAUUCCGCGUGUAGCAGUGAAAUGCGUAGAUAUGCGGAGGAACACCGAUGGCGAAGGCAAUCCCCUGGCCUGUACUGACGCUCAUGCACGAAAGCGUGGGGAGCGAAACAAGG